AUUGAACGCUGGCGGCAGGCCUAACACAUGCAAGUCGAACGAGUGGCGGACGGGUGAGUAAUGGCUGGGAAACUGCCUGAUGGAGGGGGAUAACUACUGGAAACGGUAGCUAAUCCCGCAUACCAUCGGAUGUGCCCAGAUGGGAUUAUCUAGUAGGUGGGGUAACGGCUCACCUAGGCGACGAUCCCUAGCUGGUCUGAGAGGAUGACCUGCCACACUGGAACUGAGACACGGACCAGACUCCUACGGGAGGCAGCAGUGGGGAAUAUUGCACAAUGGGCGCAAGCCUGAUGCAGCCAUGCCGCGUGAAUGAAGAAGGCCUUCGGGUUGUAAAGUACUUUCAGCGGGGAGGCGUUACCCGAAGAAGAAGCACCGGCUAACUCCGUGCCAGCAGCCGCGGUAAUUC
rnacentral:rRNA from 1 species